rnacentral:rRNA from 1 species
ACGCUAGCGGCAGGCCUAAUACAUGCAAGUCGAGGGGUAGAGAGAGCUUGCUUUCUUGAGACCGGCGCACGGGUGCGUAACGCGUAUGCAACCUACCUUUAUCUGGGGGAUAGCCCGGAGAAAUCCGGAUUAAUACCGCAUAAAAUCACAGAAUAGCAUUAUUUAAUGAUCAAACAUUUAUGGGAUGAAGAUGGGCAUGCGUGUCAUUAGCUAGUUGGCGGGGUAACGGCCCACCAAGGCGACGAUGACUAGGGGAUCUGAGAGGAUGGCCCCCCACACUGGUACUGAGACACGGACCAGACUCCUACGGGAGGCAGCAGUAAGGAAUAUUGGUCAAUGGAGGCAACUCUGAACCAGCCAUGCCGCGUGCAGGAAGACUGCCCUAUGGGUUGUAAACUGCUUUUAUCCGGGAAUAAACCUUUCUACGUGUAGGAAGCUGAAUGUACCGGAAGAAUAAGGAUCGGCUAACUCCGUGCCAGCAGCCGCGGUAAUACGGAGGAUCCAAGCGUUAUCCGGAUUUAUUGGGUUUAAAGGGUGCGUAGGCGGCCUGUUAAGUCAGGGGUGAAAGACGGUAGCUCAACUAUCGCAGUGCCCUUGAUACUGAUGGGCUUGAAUGGACUAGAGGUAGGCGGAAUGAGACAAGUAGCGGUGAAAUGCAUAGAUAUGUCUCAGAACACCGAUUGCGAAGGCAGCUUACUAUGGCCUUAUUGACGCUGAGGCACGAAAGCGUGGGGAUCAAACAGGAUUAGAUACCCUGGUAGUCCACGCCCUAAACGAUGAACACUCGCUGUUGGCGAUACACAGUCAGCGGCUAAGCGAAAGCGUUAAGUGUUCCACCUGGGGAGUACGCCCGCAAGGGUGAAACUCAAAGGAAUUGACGGGGGCCCGCACAAGCGGAGGAGCAUGUGGUUUAAUUCGAUGAUACGCGAGGAACCUUACCCGGGCUUGAAAGUUAGUGAAUGAUCUAGAGAUAGAUCAGUGAGCAAUCACACGAAACUAGGUGCUGCAUGGCUGUCGUCAGCUCGUGCCGUGAGGUGUUGGGUUAAGUCCCGCAACGAGCGCAACCCCUAUGUUUAGUUGCCAGCAUGUAAUGAUGGGGACUCUAAACAGACUGCCUGUGCAAACAGAGAGGAAGGAGGGGACGACGUCAAGUCAUCAUGGCCCUUACGUCCGGGGCUACACACGUGCUACAAUGGAUGGUACAGAGGGCAGCUAGCUGGCAACAGUAUGCGAAUCUCACAAAGCCAUUCACAGUUCGGAUUGGGGUCUGCAACUCGACCCCAUGAAGUUGGAUUCGCUAGUAAUCGCGUAUCAGCAAUGACGCGGUGAAUACGUUCCCGGGCCUUGUACACACCGCCCGUCAAGCCAUGGAAGUUGGGGGUACCUAAAGUAUGUAACCGCAAGGAGCGUCCUAGGGUAAACCGAUAAC